GGGACAGCUAAACCCUAGUUCCUAAGAAAAUUAUUAUCAGAUCUUCGCAUGUAAAUAAACCAUGAGGAUCAUACAGAGUUCUUUGAGAAUCGGCUUCGGAGGCAAUCAAAUUGUUCGUAGCUGGAGCUGAAUCGGCUAACUGCAAGCAUUUGACCCAAAACAAAGAGGGGGAAAGAGGAAAAAAAUUCAGAAAUUUAAGAGAAUAAUAAUAGCAUCAAUCUACUGCAAUCACACGACCGGAAAUGUAGAAGAGUAUAAGCUUACAUUCAUCAUUGUAAUUUAUGUAGCAGAAUUUGAAAUGCUGAAGAGAUUUGAGAAGCAAUUUCUUCUGUAAAUUAGGUGCUCUGCUUUUAUUACUCUGUGCUCGGUUUUCCCUUUCCUCAAGAAAUCAGUGGGCUUUUUCUUGUGGUUGAUUUUGAUGGGCUUUUCUCAAACGCCCACUGAUGAUUUAAUUUUAGUUUAAAUAAAUUUUAUGUUUUUGGGCUAUCAUUUUGGUCCCAAUAAAAGGCACAGUAAAAUGGGAUGCGAGAAAAGAUAUCACAAAACUCCUUACAUUUAUGUUCAUAAAUAUACAAGUGGCUACUUUAAUAUAUGAGGCGAAAUUUAAAAUGCCCAUUCUCUUAUGCAAAAUUUGAAAAAUGCCCUCUAUUACUAUGUAAAGCAAUCCAUGCCCUAAUUGUGUGAAGAACCGAAAAUGCCCUUUGAAUGUGAUGGUUGUGCAUUGUUUUCCACAAAAGUUCUUACACAUUUAUGACAAAGCCUUACAAAAGUUGUUAAAGUGUAAGAAAAACAUCAAUGUCAUGAAUUAAAGAUUGAAAUCGGUCAAAUUAUUGUUGGAACAAGUGAAAGACUGACACAAAAAAUAAGUAUUUAUUUAUUUUUGAAUUAAAAUCGAAGGGUUUUACAAGUAAAUCGUACGCUAAUUAAUCAAUGGAAAAUAAAUACUAAAAAUUAACACAAUCGAUAUUAGCACUACAAAAUACACAUUGGAACAAAAAAAUCUGUCCGACCGUAAAAACAAAGUGUCCGACCGGACACAAGGUUUCACCGGUCGGACACAUAUUUGUUCCGGUCGGAUAGAUAUUUUUUUGGUUCCGAUGUGUGUUUUGAGUGCUAAUAUCGAUUGUGUUAAUUUUUUGUAUUUAUAUUCCAUCGAUUAAUUNUUAUUAUCAGAUCUUCGCAUGUAAAUAAACCAUGAGGAUCAUACAGAGUUCUUUGAGAAUCGGCUUCGGAGGCAAUCAAAUUGUUCGUAGCUGGAGCUGAAUCGGCUAACUGCAAGCAUUUGACCCAAAACAAAGAGGGGGAAAGAGGAAAAAAAUCGAAAUUUAAGAGAAUAAUAAUAGCAUCAAUCUACUGCAAUCACACGACCGAAAAUGUAGAAGAGUAUAAGCUUACAUUCAUCAUUGUAAUUUAUGUAGCAGAAUUUGAAAUGCUGAAGAGAUUUGAGAAGCAAUUUCUUCUGUAAAUUAGGUAUUAGGUGCUCUGCUUUUAUUACUCUGUGCUCCGUUUUCCCUUUCCUCAAGAAAUCAGUGGGCUUUUUCUUCUUGUUGAUUUCGAUGGGCUUUUCUCAAAGGCCCCCUGAGUGAGUGUUGGGGAGCUAGGGCUCAGGCGGCGCCUCCGUUCGAAAUCCGAGGGGUGGCGGCCGGCCGGCGUGUGAGGGAGAAGAGAGUCAGGGGCGGCGGCGAGGGAAUGGGAGGGGCUAGCGGCGCAGCUGUUAGUGUGCGUGUGUUGUGUGUGUGGGUGUGUUUAAAGUGAAGAAGAAAGGGUUUGUAAGUUGCG
rnacentral:lncRNA from 1 species